rnacentral:rRNA from 1 species
UACGGAGGAUGCGAGCGUUAUCCGGAUUUAUUGGGUUUAAAGGGUGCGCAGGCGGCGUGUCAAGUCAGCGGUAAAAUGUCGGGGCUCAACCCCGGCCGGCCGUUGAAACUGGCGUGCUCGAGUUGGAGAGAAGUAUGCGGAAUUCGUGGUGUAGCGGUGAAAUGCAUAGAUAUCACGAAGAACCCCGAUUGCGAAGGCAGCAUACCGGCAUCCAACUGACGCUGAGGCACGAAAGCGUGGGGAUCAAACAGG